rnacentral:snRNA from 2 species
GUCCCUUUGGGACAUCUAAUAAAAUUGGAACGAUACAGAGAAGAUUAGCAUGGCCAUUGCGCAAGGAUGACACGCACAAAUCGAGAAAUGGUCCAAAUUUUU